rnacentral:rRNA from 1 species
UACGUAGGGUGCAAGCGUUGUCCGGAAUCACUGGGCGUAAAGGGCGCGUAGGUGGCGCGGCAAGUCAACGGUGAAAGCUCGACGCUCAACGUCGAGUCGGCCGUCGAUACUGCUGGGCUUGAGCACUGUAGAGGCAGAUGGAAUUCCGGGUGUAGCGGUGGAAUGCGUAGAGAUCCGGAAGAACACCGGUGGCGAAGGCGGUCUGCUGGGCAGUAGCUGACACUGAGGCGCGACAGCGUGGGGAGCAAACAGG